rnacentral:rRNA from 1 species
AAACAAACCGGGAUUACCUCAGUAACGGCGAGUGAAGCGGUAACAGCUCAAAUUUGAAAUCUGGCUCCUUCGGAGUCCGAGUUGUAAUUUGUAGAAGAUGCUUUGGGUUGCGAGUUCGGCCUAAGUUCCUUGGAACAGGACGUCAUAGAGGGUGAGAAUCCCGUAUGUGGCCGAGGCCCGCGCCUAUGUAAAGCUCUUUCAACGAGUCGAGUUGUUUGGGAAUGCAGCUCAAAAUGGGUGGUAAAUUUCAUCUAAAGCUAAAUAUGGGCCAGAGACCGAUAGCGCACAAGUAGAGUGAUCGAAAGAUGAAAAGCACUUUGGAAAGAGAGUUAAACAGUACGUGAAAUUGUUGAAAGGGAAGCGCUUGCAACCAGACUUGGGCGCUGCUGAUCACCCCGAGUUCUCUCGGGUGCACUCGACAGCGCACAGGCCAGCAUCGGUUCGGGUGGCUGGAUAAAGGCCGUAGGAACGUGGCUCCCUUCGGGGAGUGUUAUAGCCUACGGUGCCAUGCAGCCCAGCCGGACCGAGGACCGCGCCUUCGGGCUAGGAUGCUGGCGUAAUGGUUGUAAGCGACCCGUCUUGAAACACGGACCAAGGAGUCUAACAUCUAUGCGAGUGUUUGGGUGGUAAACCCAUACGCGGAAUGAAAGUGAACGUAGGUGAGAACCCCUUUGGGGCGCAUCAUCGACCGAUCCUGAU